GGCGGGGACAGGAGAGAAAGAAGGGACAGGCAUAAGUCACUUCUCCCGCCGGCUCCGACAGCUGGUUGCUCCGCUGAGGGGCGUUGGGUGAGGCGGAAGAGCAGACGGGGAUCCAGAAGGCGUUGUCGGUGACAUCACGGAGAGGGCGAUUUCUAUGUAGAUGAGGCAGCGCAGGGGCUGCUGCUUCGCCACCUGCUGCUUCGCCACGAAAGAGUUCCCGUGCCGUGGGAGUAAGUCUGGGACCUCUGGUCGGACCGGAGAGUCGCAGCUGUGUGUUAGGGCUAGGAUGGCUCCUGGAUGCGCGUGACGCAAGUGACCUUGCGUGUAAAGGGGCCCGCCUGGCAGGACGACUGAGCAAGUUCUUGGAAAACCAGAGAUAUUAGAGCGGUGAAUCGCGCUGGUCACGUUGGACACCUGCGCGUUAGGAGAUUCUGGAGCCAGAGGGAGAGACCCCAGAAACGCCCCGGUCGGCGACCCAGCCCGAGACGCCUGGGGUCCCAAGGGAAGCUGAACGCCCGCAGAAUGGGGAAAUGGAGAGAGAACCUGAAAGAGCCCCAAACUCGAGGACCUAUUGCUCCCCAAGAAUAACAUCUUCCAGAACUAGACAGAAAACUAGGCGUCUGGGAACCCUGAAAUCCUUGGAGGAGUAGAUCAUCAUGACCCUCUGUGUUCCUUUUGGCAAAUGACUUGCUUCCAUUGUUUGUUUGUUCAAUUGUCUGUUUGUUAAAUAAAUAAAACCCUUU
rnacentral:lncRNA from 1 species